UGCGGCCGCUGGGGGCGGGGGCUGGACGUGGGCGGGACGGAGGCCGCUCGAGGCCACGCAGCUCCCUAACUCUGCGGAAACACCGUGCAGUGUGUUUUAUUUAAUGAUUUAGAGACAUCCUUCUGGACUCCAUAUGCAUGACCAGCCUGCUAAUGAGGUCCAGGACCCAAGAGAGCUAGUAAUGGAAGGAGAGGGAAACAUGAGAAGGAUUAAAUCGGAGAAGAGAGGAGCAGAUCAUCUGAAUGAUAAGAAACACCAAAAAUGAAAUGAACAUCUUUGAGUGGAGGGGACCAGAGAGGCAACUGGACAAUGGAACACUACCAGAUUAGCACAUCAGGAAAUUCAGAACAACUUCCUUUUUUCCUACUGCUGUCUGUCGACCUCUCCUGAAAUUUCAAGAAUGUAAUGCUUCUGCCCUGACUGGUGUGGCUCAGUGGGUUGGGUGUCUUCCUGCAAUCUGAGGGCACACGAGAGGCAACCGAUCCAUGCUUCUCUCCC